rnacentral:rRNA from 1 species
AUUGAACGCUGGCGGCAUGCUUUACACAUGCAAGUCGAACGGUAACAGGCCGCAAGGUGCUGACGAGUGGCGAACGGGUGAGUAAUGCAUCGGAACGUGCCCAGUCGUGGGGGAUAACUACUCGAAAGAGUAGCUAAUACCGCAUACGAUCUAUGGAUGAAAGCGGGGGACCGUAAGGCCUCGCGCGAUUGGAGCGGCCGAUGUCAGAUUAGGUAGUUGGUGGGGUAAAGGCUCACCAAGCCAACGAUGUAGCUGGUCUGAGAGGACGACCAGCCACACUGGGACUGAGACACGGCCCAGACUCCUACGGGAGGCAGCAGUGGGGAAUUUUGGACAAUGGGCGCAAGCCUGAUCCAGCAAUGCCGCGUGCAGGAAGAAGGCCUUCGGGUUGUAAACUGCUUUUGUACGGAACGAAACGGCUCUGGUUAAUACCCGGGGCUAAUGACGGUACCGUAAGAAUAAGCACCGGCUAACUACGUG